UACGUAGGGUGCGAGCGUUAAUCGGAAUUACUGGGCGUAAAGCGUGCGCAAGCGGUCUGUUAAGACCGAUGUGAAAUCCCCGGGCUUAACCUGGGAACUGCAUUGGUGACUGGCAGGCUUUGAGUGUGGCAGAGGGAGGUAGAAUUCCACGUGUAGCAGUGAAAUGCGUAGAGAUGUGGAGGAAUACCGAUGGCGAAGGCAGCCUCCUGGGCCAACACUGACGCUCAUGCACGAAAGCGUGGGGAGCAAACAGG
rnacentral:rRNA from 1 species